rnacentral:misc_RNA from 1 species
UGCAUAAACUUAAAGCUAAAACCCUAAGCUAUCAAAUGAAUAAAAAGUGCAGUGAAAAAUUGAGCUCCGAAAGUGUUUUAACUAUUUGUAAACUAUUGCGUAUGUUUUAUCAUACGUAAACGCUAGCCCAGUUUUUGCUAUAUGAAAAUUCAUUCCUAAUAUCUCCUUGUAGACAAGCAACAACUGAGGAGAUAGUUGAAUGGCUCCAAGAUUUAAAUGAAGAUGAUGAUGUAGAGAUUAUAGAAAACAUCAAUAAUGCCAAUUUUAUUGAUGUGACUUUGCUCCCCCCCGAAGAACAGGAGUUAUCCGAUUGCGAUUACGCAGAUGAAUACGAUGAAGGUACACUGGGUGAUUUGGGUCGUGGAGUUCUUAAAAGGGCAUGUGAAAUAAGAACUGAUAACUCAGAAGUGGAGGAGCAACAGUUUCUAAAUGAAGCGAGCAGUUCACUAGCCCCACGUACAAGGACUUCAACUCAAAGGAAAACUAAAAAAAGAAGAUUUUCCGAAAAUUGUCCAAGAUAGUAGUAAAAGCAAGUGAAUGUUCUAUCACAGCAAUACGCGAACAUACUCUGGACAUUGUAGCAGAUAUUUUGGAAAAUGAUAUAAGUCCAAUACAACAUUUUAAAAGAAUUUUUGAUAGCGAAUUUAUGGAAUGUAUACAAUCAGAGACUGUUAAGUACGCCAUAAACAAAGGAGAUGAAGCUUUCACCGUAAAUCUUGAGGAGUUAUACACAUAUUUCGGUAUCCUUAUACUAAGUGGAUACAACAAGCUAUUAGCAUGUACUGGCAGACAGAAAGUGAUGUGUACAAUCAUUUAGUGGUAGGUUCAAUGGCGAGGAAUAAGUUUGAAAAAAUACAUCGCUACCUUCACAUCAACUUCAUUUUCUGUAGACGAAUCGAUGGAGCCGUAUUUUGGUAAGCAUUCUUUCAAGCAGUUUAUACGAGGAAAACCAAUUCGCAAUGGAUACAAAAUUUGGUGUAUGACUACUUCAGAAGGAUAUUUGUUGAACUUCGAUUCGUACACCGGAAAAAGCAUGAUUCGAUCUAAUGAGCCCUUAGGUUUAUCUAUCAUAAUAAAUUUAUGUUAUCACAUAGUUCCCGAACACAGCACUGUAUUUCUAGAUAACUAUUUCAAUAAUUUUAAAUUAUUGGAAGAGUUUGAUAAGAAAAAUAUAACAGUGGUGGGAACGAUUCGCUCGGACCGCAUUGAAAAUGCUCCUUUGAGCAGCAUGAAAAGAGAACUCCGUGGUACUUGUGAAGCACUAAAAUCUAAAAAUAUUACCCUAGUUAGGUGGAAUGAUAACAAUAAUGUCACCAUUGCAACAAAUUAUAAAAACGACAACAUAACGACAACAACCGGAUUAUGCAAAAGAUAUGAUCGACAACAGAAACGCAGACAAGACGUAAAGCAACCAGUCAUUAUCAAGGAGUCUAAUUCGGGAAUGGGUGGAGUCGAUCUCUUUGACCAGCAAAGGGCAGCGUACCGAACUCGGAUUCGGUCAAGAAAAUGGAAUUGGGCCAUUUUCAGAUUUUGCUUAAAUGGUGCCGUUGUAAAUUUAUGGAUAUUAUUUAGGAAAGCUUAUCCACAAGUUACUCUUCUCGGCUUCAUUCGACGACUUACAAGGAGCAUACUUUCAAAGCCAAAAGAUUUUCAUCCAGUCGCAUGACGAAAGAGAAAACGAGAAAACGAAACCAGCGCCGAUGCAAAAAUUGUGAAAAGUGUACGAAAUUUAUAUGCAUGAAAUGUAAUUUUGGCUUGCACCCAGAUAACUGUUUCUACAAAUAUCAUGUAAACUGAGUCUGCAACUAAAUCUGAAAAUUAACAGUGAAUAUGUCAUUAAAUAUAUAAAUACGAUGUCAAUUUGAACUCAAAA